rnacentral:rRNA from 1 species
CAGGAGAUCCCACCGGGAUGGAAUGAAACUACUAUUGUGAUGAUCCCUAAGGUAAACACUCCUGAGCAAGUCACACAAUUUAGACCUAUUAGUUUGUGCAAUGUGGUCUAUAAAGUUAUCUCAAAGAUGAUUGCUAUAAGACUGAAAAGUUUGCUUCCUGAAAUCAUUAGUCCCACACAAAGUGCUUUUGUUCCGGGGAGACUCAUCACAGAUAAUGUCUUGAUAGCUUAUGAGAGCCUCCAUGCAAUUAAACAGAAGAAAAAAGGCAAGGAGGGAUGGUGUGCAGUUAAGUUGGAUAUGCACAGCUGA